UACAGAGACUGCAAGCGUUAUUCGGAUUCACUGGGCGUAAAGGGUGCGCAGGUGGCCGUGUGUGUCAGAUGUGAAAUCCCGGGGCUUAACCCCGGAACUGCGUCUGAAACUACACGGCUAGAGCAUUGGAGAGGGUAGUGGAAUUCACGGUGUAGCAGUGAAAUGCGUAGAUAUCGUGAGGAACACCAGAGGCGAAGGCGACUACCUGGACAAUAGCUGACACUCAGGCACGAAAGCGUGGGUAGCGAACAGG
rnacentral:rRNA from 1 species